GCACUGCUGAGUUUUGGGAGCAAUUUUCUCCUGUCCUCAUUAAAAGCCUGUGGUUGUCCUGCCUUCCUACUGCUGCUUCCACUGCUCACAGCUACCUUUUGAGUUUCAGAAGCCCAAACACAGAGAUGAAUCUCACAAAGUACCUUUGCCUCCGGUUUCCCGGCUGUGUGGGCUCAGCUUAUUUGUUGCUCAGAGAGUGAAAUAGAUACCUAAAAUCCUGAGAAUUCAGCGAGGAUUUGCUUGUAGGGGAGUGCUGAAACAGCUGCUGAAGCUUUGUCUGGUGAGAUUUUUCCCAGCUGUCUCCCUUCCAUGUGGUUCUCUCCAGGCCUGACAGAUGGGAUGAGCAGUGGCAGGGCUGGGGGAGCAUCCCUGUGCCGGGAUGGGGCCCAUCAAGAUCCCCUUCAUGGUAUUGAGUAGAGGCCUAAAGGCUCCAGUGAUGGAUUGUGUCACAUGAUGCCACUGCAUCACUCCAUGUGUGACCAUGGCCAGCCCUGUGCCACCCCACCAGGGACUGUCUCCUUGCCUGUCUGCACUCUGAGGACAACAGCAUGGAAAACAUCGCUGAGACAGUGGUGUCCUCACUGUGGUGGAUGCAGGGACAGGAGGAUCAGCUCUGAUUUUUCUUAUCUCCAUGGGCAGAGGUGGCAAGAGGUAGAUGAGGACAGCAGGAGCAGGGACUGCCUUUUUCCGCAGCAAGUGCUGGAUGAAGAUGUGUGUGAAGCUUCAGCUUGAAACCAAUUAUGCCUCAGCUCUUCACUGGUGGGAAUCGAGUUAAUAAUAAUCUCUCAUUGUCUUCCUGUCCUCCUUCUGCUAUUAUCUGUGCUGCAAUCCAAAGGAGCACUGGUUUUAGCUGUUUAGCAUUUCUGUAAUAACUGCAGCCACAGAUGCAAAGUAUUCCACUUAAAGUGGUAUUCUUCAGAGUGAAACAUGAUGUUGAUGCCUCAGCUAGCUGUAGGUGAACUCAAAGUUUGCAUUUUUUAGCCAAAAAAAGUUUUCUUGCAUGCUUUUUCUGUCUGAGAGAACCGCAAAACAAAAAUGCCUGUCUUUUAAAUUCUCAGCCCCACACUUCCUGACUGACCCAAUAUGAACCACUGCUGCUCUGCACACAUUAUUUCCUCUCUUUGAAAAACAAAAGAAAAAAAUUAGCCACAGUCUGGCAAUACCUUGAAUUUCCAUUGACCUUAUGUCUCAUCUUUUGGGGGUAGCAAGCUGCUCUUGACAUGAAGGGAGCUAAAAGCAGAGCAGGGCAGAGGCGGACAUGGGGUUGGAGACAUCUCCUCCUCCAGCCCUUUCUCAUUCUGCUGACUGAUCUCCUCCCUGACAUCAAAGCACCUCACCAGUGUCCACUGUCGUAGGAGGCUGGAAAUAUUUUGUUAUAUUCUUUCUGCAGUAUCAAGGAUGUUUUUUGCUGCCUUUUUUGUCUGGCAAUUUUCUUAGCAAAACCUCCUGCUGCCGCACUGCUGCUAUUGCACUGCCCGCUGCUAAACCUGGCUGUUGUCACACUGCAAAAAUCAUCAAAAAGCAACUUUAGCUCUUGUCUUGGCUGUGUGACUGAGGCUUUCCUGCCACAGCAGUGGCCAAGGUCUUCUCAGCCCACUGAAGAUGUCUGUCACCAAGUCAGCAGCUCUGUGUGUUCCCUCCAUCUGUGCUGCCAGAGCAGGGGAAAGCCGCUGACUGGCACGCACUGGGAGCAGGAUUUUCUUUCUCUUCCUUAGAGGUCCUAUAAGGAGACUCUUCUCCAGUUAUAUUUCUGCAUGGCUUUUUAUUUUUAGUUUUCUGUAUUUUCUUUUUCGUCAAAGAGUGUCAUGUUUUGUUUUAUUUUCAUAAAAUGUCUCAAAAAUGAACUCUGUUUUGCCAUAUUCAAACUCUGCUUUGAUAGAAAUAAUUGUAUUGCAUUUCAAUCUGUCAAAAUAGUAUUUAUUUCUAAAUAGAUUUAUCUACAGAUCUCAUAAUAAAUUAUGAUUAUUAUUUGCA
rnacentral:lncRNA from 1 species